UACGUAGGGGGCAAGCGUUGUCCGGAUUUAUUGGGCGUAAAGAGCGUGUAGGCGGCCAGACAGGUCCGUUGUGAAAACUCGAGGCUCAACCUCGAGACGCCGAUGGAAACCGUUUGGCUAGAGGAUGGAAGAGGCUCGUGGAAUUCCCAGUGUAGAGGUGAAAUUCGUAGAUAUUGGGAAGAACACCGGUGGCGAAGGCGGCGAGCUGGUCCAUCACUGACGCUGAGGCGCGAUAGCGUGGGGAGCAAACAGG
rnacentral:rRNA from 1 species